ensembl:lncRNA
GUCCUGUUCACAGCUCAGACCAGAACACCGACUGACACCAGCGGGUUUUAUUGCUGUACAUGUAUUUAUAAAACAUUGGGAAGAGAAUACUUAUGAAACAACACACAUACACAUACAUACAUACUUGUUUUUUUUUCAUUUCACAAUCACGUAGGUUUGGAAGGUAAAAUAUACAGCAUGGUAUGUUACGUACAAAAGAGAAAGAUGGUAAUAAAUAAAUAAAACAACACCAGUGAACGCCAGUUAGAGAGCCCAUCCUCAGGGCCUGGACCAGGACCAGGACCAGGGCCUGGACCAGGACCAGGACCAGGACCAGGGACCAGGACCAGGACCAGAACCAGAACUCUGACCAGGGACCAGGACCAGGGUCCAGGGACCAGGGACCAGGACCAGGACCAGGGACCAGGACCAGGGAUCAGGACUCUGACCAGGACAAGGGACCAGGAACAGGACCAGGACCAGGACCAGGACUCUGACCAGGGACCAGGACUCUGACCAGGACUCUGACCAGGACCAGGACUCUGACCAGGGACCAGGACUCUGACCAGUGACCAGGACUCUGCCGCGGCUGAAGCACAGCAGGGGUGAGGCUGGGAGGUUGAGGAGGAGGAGGAGUUGUGGGAGGGGGCAGAGGGACACAAUGCUUGCACACCUGGAUGCCUGGCAGUACUCUUGUCUGAUCUGUCCGCACACUGGGGCGGGGCAUAGGGUGGGGGGGGGAAGGUGAGGGUAGGGGGUAUACCCUGGGUUGGGACUGCACUGAGUCACAGUGAGUCAUAGUGAGUCACACUGCACUGAGUCACAGUGCAGUGAGUCACAGUGCAGUGAGUCACCAUGAGUCACAGUGCAGUGAGUUACAGUGAGUUACAGUGAGUCACAGUGAGUCACAUCACAGUGAGUCACAUCACAGUGAGUCACAGUGCAGUGAGUCAUAGUGAGUCACAGUGCAGUGAGUUACAUUGCAGUGAGUCACCAUGAGUCACAGUGCAGUGAGUUAAAGUGCACUGAGUCACAGUGAGUCACAGUGCAGUGAGUCACAGUGAGUCACAA